rnacentral:rRNA from 1 species
AUGCAACUGGUAUCUAGUGGUCACAUGAUUGUUAACAUAAAUGUCAAGGUGAGGCCCUUCUUCCCCACUUUUGGCGGGGUGAGACAAGGUGACCCGUUCUCCCCAUUUUUGUUUAACAUGGUUGUUGACGCCCUUUCCGCGAACCUUGAUGCGGCCAAGCUUGCCGGCCAUAUUCAUCGGGUUGUCCCUCACCUUGUUCCCGGGGGUGGGGUUUCCCUUUUCCAAUUUGCUGAUGACAUGAUCCUCAAGGUGGAAGGCUCGUCGCUCAUGUUCUGA